GGGAAAUCUUUGGAGCUUGCUUUGAGGAUUCCUAGUGGCGCACGGGUGAGUAACACGUGAGUAACAUGCCUCGUAGAGGGGAAUAGCCCGCCGAAAGGCGGAUUAAUACCCCAUAGUCCCGCAAGGGUAAAGGUGGCUUCGGCUGUCGCUACGAGAUUGGCUCGCGUCCUAUCAGCUUGUUGGUGAGGUAACGGCUCACCAAGGCAACGACGGGUAGCUGGUCUGAGAGGACGAUCAGUCACACUGGAACUGAGACACGGUCCAGACACCUACGGGUGGCAGCAGUCGAGAAUAAUUCACAAUGGGGGAAACCCUGAUGGUGCAACGCCGCGUGGAGGAUGAAGGCCCUAGGGUCGUAAACUCCUGUCAUUUGAGAGUAAGACCUGGUCGUUAAUAGCGGACAGGGUUGAUAGUAUCAAAAGAGGAAGGGACGGCUAACUUCGUGCCAGCAGCCGCGGUAAUACGAAGGUCCCGAGCGUUGUUCGGAAUCACUGGGCGUAAAGGGAGCGUAGGCGGUUAGGUAAGUCAGAUGUGAAAUCCCGGGGCUCAACCUCGGAACUGCAUCCGAUACUGCCUGACUAGAGUAAUGGAGGGGUAACUGGAAUUCUCGGUGUAGCAGUGAAAUGCGUAGAGAUCGAGAGGAACACUCGUGGCGAAGGCGAGUUACUGGACAUUUACUGACGCUGAGGCUCGAAGGCCAGGGUAGCGAAAGGGAUUAGAUACCCCUGUAGUCCUGGCAGUAAACGGUGUGCGCUUGGUGUGAGGGGUUUCGACCCCCCUUGUGCCGGAGCUAACGCGUUAAGCGCACCGCCUGGGGAGUACGGUCGCAAGACUAAAACUCAAAGAAAUUGACGGGGACCCGCACAAGCGGUGGGAGUAUGUGGCUUAAUUCGAUGCAACGCGAAGAACCUUACCAGGGCUUGACAUGCAUUGCUAAUUCCGUGAAAGCGGAUGAGUCUUCGGACACCUUGCACAGGUGCUGCAUGGCCGUCGUCAGCUCGUGU
rnacentral:rRNA from 1 species